AGCAGCCGCGGUAAUUCCAGCUCCAAUAGCGUAUAUUAAAGUUGUUGCAGUUAAAAAGCUCGUAGUUGAAUUUCGGGAUCAAUUUAUCGGUCGUGCCAAUGGUAUGAACUGGUACAAUUGGUUUCUCCCUUCUGACGAAGCAUGAUGUCAUUAAUUUGGUGUCGUGGGGAAUCAGGACUGUUACUUUGAAAAAUUAGAGUGUUUAAAGCAAGCAUUAGCUUGAAUACAUUAGCAUGGAAUAAUGAAAUAGGACGUUUGAUCCUAUUUCGUUGGUUUCUAGGAUCGACGUAAUGAUUAAUAGGGAUAGUUGGGGGCAUUAGUAUUCAAUUGUCAGAGGUGAAAUUCUUGGAUUUAUUGAAGACUAACUACUGCGAAGCAUUUGCCAAGGAUGUUUUCAUUAAUCAAGAACGAAAGUUAGGGGAUCGAAGACGAUCAGAUACCGUCGUAGUCUUAACCAUAAAACUAUGCCGACUAGGGAUCGGAUGAUGUUAAUUUUAAUGACU
rnacentral:rRNA from 1 species